rnacentral:rRNA from 1 species
UACGGAGGGUGCAAGCGUUGUUCGGAUUUAUUGGGCGUAAAGCGCGUGUAGGCGGCUUCUUAAGCCUGAUGUGAAAGCCCCGGGCUCAACCCGGGAAGUGCAUUGGAUACUGGGAGACUUGAAUACGGGAGAGGGGAGUGGAAUUCCUAGUGUAGGAGUGAAAUCCGUAGAUAUUAGGAGGAACACCGGUGGCGAAGGCGGCUACCUGGACCGAUAUUGACGCUGAGGCACGAAAGCGUGGGGAGCAAACAGG